CUGCGGAGGGAUCAUUACCGAGUUUACAACUCCCAAACCCCUGUGAACAUACCACUUGUUGCCUCGGCGGAUCAGCCCGCUCCCGGUAAAACGGGACGGCCCGCCAGAGGACCCCUAAACUCUGUUUCUAUAUGUAACUUCUGAGUAAAACCAUAAAUAAAUCAAAACUUUCAACAACGGAUCUCUUGGUUCUGGCAUCGAUGAAGAACGCAGCAAAAUGCGAUAAGUAAUGUGAAUUGCAGAAUUCAGUGAAUCAUCGAAUCUUUGAACGCACAUUGCGCCCGCCAGUAUUCUGGCGGGCAUGCCUGUUCGAGCGUCAUUUCAACCCUCAAGCACAGCUUGGUGUUGGGACUCGCGUUAAUUCGCGUUCCUCAAAUUGAUUGGCGGUCACGUCGAGCUUCCAUAGCGUAGUAGUAAAACCCUCGUUACUGGUAAUCGUCGCGGCCACGCCGUCAAACCCCAACUUCUGAAUGUUGACCUCGGAUCAGGUAGGAAUACCCGCUGAACUUAAGCAUAUC
rnacentral:rRNA from 1 species